rnacentral:rRNA from 1 species
UACGUAGGGUGCAAGCGUUAAUCGGAAUUACUGGGCGUAAAGGGCGCGUAGGCGGCUGUACAAGUCAAAGGUGAAAUCCCUCGGCUCAACUGAGGAACUGCCUUUGAAACUGUACGGCUUGAGGCCGGGAGGGGGUAGCGGAAUUCCCAAUGUAGCGGUGAAAUGCGUAGAUAUUGGGAGGAACACCAGUGGCGAAGGCGGCUACCUGGACCGGUUCUGACGCUGAGGCGCGAAAGCGUGGGUAGCAAACAGG